rnacentral:rRNA from 1 species
AUUGAACGCUGGCGGCAUGCCUUACACAUGCAAGUCGAACGGCAGCACGGGACUCGGGCAACUGAGCCCUGGUGGCGAGUGGCGAACGGGUGAGUAAUGCAUCGGAACGUGCCCAGUAGUGGGGGAUAACUAGUCGAAAGAUUAGCUAAUACCGCAUACGACCUAUGGGUGAAAGCGGGGGAUUUUCGGGCAACCGAGAACCUCGCGCUAUCGGAGCGGCCGAUGUCNGAUUAGCUAGUUGGCGGGGUAAAAGCCCACCAAGGCUUCGAUCAGUAGCUGGUCUGAGAGGACGACCAGCCACACUGGGACUGAGACACGGCCCAGACUCCUACGGGAGGCAGCAGUGGGGAAUUUUGGACAAUGGGCGCAAGCCUGAUCCAGCCAUGCCGCGUGC